rnacentral:rRNA from 1 species
AUUGAACGCUGGCGGCAGGCCUAACACAUGCAAGUCGAGCGGUAGAGAGGUGCUUGCAUCUCUUGAGAGCGGCGGACGGGUGAGUAAUGCCUAGGAAUCUGCCUAGUGGUGGGGGAUAACGUUCGGAAACGGACGCUAAUACCGCAUACGUCCUACGGGAGAAAGCGGGGGAUCUUCGGACCUCGCGCCAUUAGAUGAGCCUAGGUCGGAUUAGCUAGUUGGUGAGGUAAUGGCUCACCAAGGCGACGAUCCGUAACUGGUCUGAGAGGAUGAUCAGUCACACUGGAACUGAGACACGGUCCAGACUCCUACGGGAGGCAGCAGUGGGGAAUAUUGGACAAUGGGCGAAAGCCUGAUCCAGCCAUGCCGCGUGUGUGAAGAAGGUCUUCGGAUUGUAAAGCACUUUAAGUUGGGAGGAAGGGUAGUAACCUAAUACGUUGCUACUUUGACGUUACCGACAGAAUAAGCACCGGCUAACUUC